rnacentral:misc_RNA from 1 species
GCAAACUUGGUCAUUUAGAGGAAGUAAAAGUCGUAACAAGGUAACCGUAGGUGAACCUGCGGUUGGAUCAUUACCAAAUUUAAAAGGUGACCUAGUUUACUAGGAUUUGCCUGGGUAUUGAAAUAUAUACCACUUCUACCUUGUGUGCAAUGUAAUUGUAUUGAUGGAUUUUUCAUCUGGGUUUUUCUUGGAUGGGAUUUCUGUAUAAACAUUUUAAGUUUUCUUAAGUCUGAAUAGUUUUUUUACAUAUUUGAUAUUUUACUUUGUAAGAUAUUUAAAAUUGUUUAAACAACUUUUGGCAACGGAUCUCUUGGCUCUCGCAUCGAUGAAGAACGCAGC